UACGUAGGGAGCAAGCGUUGUCCGGAAUCAUUGGGCGUAAAGCGCGCGUAGGUGGCUUCGUAAGUCCGUUGUGAAAGUCAAAGGCUCAACCUUUGAAAGCCGGUGGAUACUGUGAGGCUAGAGUACGGAAGAGGCGAGUGGAAUUCCUGGUGUAGCGGUGGAAUGCGCAGAUAUCAGGAGGAACACCAAUAGCGAAGGCAGCUCGCUGGGACGUUACUGACACUGAGGCGCGAAAGCGUGGGGAGCGAACAGG
rnacentral:rRNA from 1 species